UUAUGGCACAUGAGGAACAAUAUAUCAAAUGGGUAAUUUGCAUCUGAUGGUUCAGUGAUGAUAAACACCUUGGAGAUCUGAUGCCUUAA